rnacentral:misc_RNA from 1 species
GUUAUACUGAUCGGUCCUCAAGGGGCACUCCUCCUGAACCGCGUCUUGUGGAUCUGCAUCGCUCUCUGUGCGCUCGCACUCACAUACUCGCGGUACCGGCUGUCGCACCACGCGCCGGGAUCGUUACGGCGCAGGGCGAAUCAGACCGCGGAGGCCAAAGCCGUAUCGAUUGACGCACCGAUCGCUGUACCCAGCGGACAGCGCGCCUUUGAUGCCUGGAACCAUGCACGGAAGGCGCUUGAGAUCGCGAAGCAAUCCUACAGGCAGAUCAUGGCGAGUUGGGGUGCCGUUGCAAUCGCUGCCAUUGCUGCGCUGGCGAUAGCAAGCGGGAUGGACAACGAUUUCAUGGGAGUACCGCUGAUCGCAACAUCCGGGUCCGUUGC